rnacentral:rRNA from 1 species
AGUGGCGAACGGGUGAGUAAUACAUCGGAACGUACCUUAUCGUGGGGGAUAACGCAGCGAAAGCUGUGCUAAUACCGCAUACGCCCUGAGGGGGAAAGCGGGGGAUCGAAAGACCUCGCGCGAUUAGAGCGGCCGAUGCCUGAUUAGCUUGUUGGUGGGGUAAAAGCCCACCAAGGCGACGAUCAGUAGCUGGUCUGAGAGGACGAUCAGCCACACUGGGACUGAGACACGGCCCAGACUCCUACGGGAGGCAGCAGUGGGGAAUUUUGGACAAUGGGGGAAACCCUGAUCCAGCAAUGCCGCGUGAGUGAAGAAGGCCUUCGGGUUGUAAAGCUCUUUUGUCAGGGAAGAAACACCGGCUCUAACACAGUCCGGGAAUGACGGUACCUGAAGAAUAAGCACCGGCUAACUACGUGCCAGCAGCCGCGGUAAUACGUAGGGUGCGAGCGUUAAUCGGAAUUACUGGGCGUAAAGCGUGCGCAGGCGGUUAUACAAGACAGGCGUGAAAUCCCCGGGCUUAACCUGGGAAUGGCGCCUGUGACUGUAUAGCUAGAGUGUGUCAGAGGGGGGUAGAAUUCCACGUGUAGCAGUGAAAUGCGUAGAUAUGUGGAGGAAUACCAAUGGCGAAGGCUGCCCCCUGGGAUAACACUGACGCUCAUGCACGAAAGCGUGGGAGCAAACAGGAUUAGAUACCCUGGUA